AUUGAACGCUGGCGGCAUGCCUUACACAUGCAAGUCGAACGGUAACAGGUCUUCGGAUGCUGACGAGUGGCGAACGGGUGAGUAAUACAUCGGAACGUGUCCGAUCGUGGGGGAUAACGGAGCGAAAGCUUUGCUAAUACCGCAUACGAUCUACGGAUGAAAGCAGGGGACCGCAAGGCCUUGCGCGAACGGAGCGGCCGAUGGCAGAUUAGGUAGUUGGUGGGAUAAAAGCUUACCAAGCCGACGAUCUGUAGCUGGUCUGAGAGGACGACCAGCCACACUGGGACGGAGACACGGCCCAGACUCCUACGGGAGGCAGUCGUGGGGAAUUUUGGACAAUGGCCGCAAGCCUGAUCCAGUAAUGCCGCGUGCAGGAUGAAGGCCUUCGGGUUGUAAACUGUUUUUGUACGGAACGAAAAGGCUCUGGUUAAUACCUGGGGCUCGUGACGGUACCGUAAGAAUAAGCACCGGCUAACUACGUGCCAGCAGCCGCGGUAACAC
rnacentral:rRNA from 1 species